AGGACGAACGCUGGCGGCGUGCUUAACACAUGCAAGUCGAGCGGAAAGGCCCUUCGGGGUACUCGAGCGGCGAACGGGUGAGUAACACGUGAGCAACCUGCCCUUAGCUCCGGGAUAGCUCCGGGAAACCGGAAUUAAUACCGGAUACGACCACGGCCGACAUCUGCUGUGGUGGAAAGGAUUCCGGCUAAGGAUGAGCUCGCGGCCUAUCAGCUAGUUGGUGGAGUAACGGCCCACAAGGCGACGACGGGUA
rnacentral:rRNA from 1 species